GCAUCCAAGAUGGAAAUGGCGAGAGGGAAGAGUUAGUCUUUCUUUCUUUAUUUGCUUCCUUCUUUCCUGUUUUGUUUCUGUCUUUCUUUGUUUCUGUCUGUUUUGUGUGUAAGUUAAGUUAGUACGUUAAGUAAGUGAGUAGAGUCUGGGGGAUCGGGCUCAGAUUGCAUCUCUAUCUUUAUCAUCGUGCCUCGUCUGCGCCUCCUUGACCUCCUCUUGCUCUUGCUCUGUGACGUCCCGUUCGCUGUUCUGAUGCUCCCCACACAAGCCCCCCCCCCCCCCUCGAUGUGCCUUCCGUUUGAAUUUCUUCGUGUCUCCAGUUGCAUUUUCACUUCCCUACUAUUGCUUCACCUUUCUGGUUUAUCGCCUACCCUUCCUCUACAGUUGCCCUUCCCAUUAACCGAAUUAGGUCGAUUGUUUAUGUGUUCUCCUGUACCUGCGACUUCUUUCUCGGCUAUGCGCAAUUGUUCGUUGGUGUCGUAUGUCCCUAUGUUAUUUGUUCUGGUCACUUCCGUGGGAGAGCAAUCCCGGUUUUCGUCUCUGUUACCUCUCUUAUGGUAGAGGUAGUAGUGGUUCGCUUCUUCUUGCGGAAUCAGGGGUAGCCGAAUUGAGGUCAUGAGCAACUUUCUGACCUUGCAUAGCUGAGCAUACCUUUGUCCUCACGUUCAUCCAUGUCGCGAAAGGUUUGAAUCUAGAAUUUGUGGAGGGUUUACAUACUGCUGGAGUUUGGGGGCAGGAUGGGUGUUGGGGCGUUUUGUUGUACAUUCUAAAACAUUAGAAUGCCCGCCCUACGAGCGAAUGUACCUAGAGGGUGCUUGCAAUUUGCACUCGGAAUAAGUUUACAACAUAGAAAGGCAGAUGCAGAGGAUAUGCUUCUGGUAAUGCAACCUGACCACAUUCCUGACUCGUAAAAUGGCAACCUCAGUUGCUCUUCCUCAAACUUUUCAGCCAGUCCCGACGCCAUUAAUCACCGCGCUAGGUAUGGGCGCGUCUUGUGUGCCCUUGGCGUCUCCAAUUACAGAGUUUGUCUUUUUCCACAAAGCAAUACGUGUUGAGAUGGACAGAUUACAUCGCGAUGCACUGGCGGUGGAGAAUGGAACAGAUAAGGACAUCCAGAAUUUCAUUGAUCGUUAUAUUUUCCUACGCACAGUGUACAAGCAUUACUGCAGCGCGGAAGACGAGGUGAUACUUCCUGCCCUCGAUUCUCGUGUGAAGAAUGUAGCCCACUCCUACUCGCUGGAGCAUAAGGUGGAGAGUGACUUGUUUGAUCAGAUAGCUAGUCUUUUAAGUGCUGCUUUGGCUGAAAAAGGAAAAGUUGCGUCGACCCUGCACUCGGAUCUUGUUUGCUGCACACAGGCCCUACAUACUACCCUCUGCCAGCAUUUAGCAAAGGAAGAGGAACAGGUAUUUCCCCUUCUCAUGCAGCAUUUCACUUACAAGGAACAGACUGGGCUGGUCUGGCAAUUUAUCUGCAGUAUUCCUGUCAACCUUUUGGAGAAGUUCCUGCCGUGGCUUGCUUCUUCUCUCUCAGAUGAAGAGCGUCAACAGAUGGUGGCAGUCAUGCGUGAAGUCGUUCCACCAGAAGAGUUGCUUCAGCAGGUGAUACUUGCAUGGUUAAGAGGGGGAAAUAGAGCAAUAGAUGCUUAUAAUUGUCCUAGAUCGGAUCUAGAUGCAAAAGCAGUUGCUUGGGCUUCAAUAGACUCAAAGGUGGCAGGAGACUUGACAUGGGCUCUAGAUAGAGACAGCUCAGUGAACCAAGGGAAUUUACAUCCAAAACUACUUAGAAGUAGACCAUUAGUUUCUCCUCUUAAGGAACUUCUCUACUGGCAUAAUGCAAUUCGCAAAGAAUUACAAGAAAUUGCUGAACAAGCUCGUCAAAUUCAACCCAGGGGGGGUUUAUCUCUGGCAAAAUUAACUGCUUUCAUUGAGCGGUCCCAGUUCUUGGCUGAUGUGUGCAAUUUUCAAAGUUCGGCGGAGGAUAAAUUAAUGUGCCCUUCUUUACACAAGAAAGUCCAGGAGCGGGUGACUUAUCUAAUGGACCAUGCCGAGAAAGAUCGAAGAUUUGAGGAUGUACUUCGAUUGCUUGAAGGUGUGCAGGAUGCUGUAAAUAAUAGUGCAACAGUUGCUCAAUUGCAUAGCGAACUUUGCAAGAGAGCAGAACUUAUUGUGGAGUCAAUUCAGCAACAUCUUUUGGAGGAGGAGGAGGUACUCCAUUACCCACAAUCACAUUGUAGCGUUGAAGAACAACGUGUUUUAUUAUACCGAAGUUUGAGGCUAAUGCCCUUAAAGUUACUCGAGCGAGUUCUCCCGUGGCUGGUUGCCAUCUUGAGUGAGGAUGAAACAAAAGUAAUGCUUGAGAACUUGCGGCUGGCAGCUCCUGUUGAAGAUAAUGCCCUUGUGACCCUGUUCUCAGACUGGGCAUGCAAAGGGCAUCCAAAACAUUUCUCGAGUACAGGAAGCAUCCGCUGUCUCUCUACAUCACAAGAUGAAUGUUCUGUUAAGAGGAUGAAAUUUAAUGCAGGGAGUCGACCCGUAAACAUGCAAAACGGGUCAACUAUUCCCUCAAAACACAAUUCAGUAGAUAUGGGUACUGUGCAUGGGCCAGAUGACUCUCCAGAAAUUUUCGAUACGAGAGCAUCAAAACGUCCUCGAGGAAGUGAAUUUGAGGACGCUAGUAUAGAUUAUCCAACUAAGGAUACCACGAGCAAAAAUAGUUGUGAAGGUGCUGCCAGAUGUUGUGCCCCUGGGCUAGGCUGUGGUAGUUUAACCACCCGUCCUUCAGGGCUAGCCAUAAAGCCGUAUACAGCAAGUUUGAAUAGUAGUUCGUCGAACUCUGAACUUUUUGGAUGGGUCAAUGAUUCAGGUCCCACUUGUGAUCCAGGACCAAAGCCAAUUGACCAUAUCUUUCAGUUCCACAAGGCUAUCAGGAAGGACCUUGAGUACUUAGAUUCUGAGUCUGCUAAACUUGCUGAUUGUGAUGAAGACUUUCUCAGGCAGUUCCAGGGAAGGUUUCAGUUUCUGUGGGGGCUGUACAGGGCGCAUAGUAACGCUGAGGAUGAUAUUGUGUUCCCUGCUCUUGAAGCAAAGGAGGCUCUGCAUAACGUUAGCCACUCAUACACAAUCGAUCACAAGCAAGAAGAGCAAUUAUUUAAAGAUAUUGCUGAGGUACUUGUGGAACUGUCUACACUGCACACGCGUAUGCACACCCAGGCAAUUCCAACUUUUACAUCAGACAUGGAAAAUGGUAAGGAUGAGCUUAAACAAGAUUGCAUGGAGAAAGAGACUUCUAAAGCCGAAAUGAUUCAACGAAGGGCUUUGGCCGGCAAGCUGCAAAGGAUGUGCAAAUCCAUUAGAGUGAGUCUUGAUCAUCAUGUUUCUAGGGAGGAGCAUGAGCUCUGGCCUCUUUUUGAUGUUCAUUUCAGUAUCGAGGAGCAGGAUCAAAUUGUCGGACGUAUCAUUGGAACUACUGGUGCCGAAGUGCUGCAGUCAAUGUUGCCUUGGAUCACAACAGCACUCUCCGAGCACGAGCAGAACAUUAUGAUGGAUACAUUGAGACAGGCUACUCGCAACACCAUGUUUGACAAAUGGCUGCAGGCCUGGUGGAAGAAUAACCCAACGUCUAAUAGCAACACUGUGGAGUCCUCCGAAAAACAUUCUGUUCCCCACAUGGGCACAAGUGAAUCGUUACAAAUGGUUGUUGACUACCUAUCUAAAGGCGUUGUGGAUACAGGAGAGGUAACUGGUGAUGAGAAGCUUCGAACAUUAGAUGCUUGCAAUCAUGAAGGCGUUAUUCAAUCAGAUUCUGUUCAUGCAAACACUUGCGGCACCGAUGAUGAAGAUAUGCACGCAGCGAACCUGAGUAAACCCACUGCAGACCAUGCGAAUAGGUAUGCAGUCUUCAAACCUGGAUGGCGUGAUAUCUUCAGGAUGAAUCAAAUAGAGUUGGAGGCAGCCAUUCGGAAAGUUUCUAGUGACAGUUCUCUUGACCCGCGUCGGAAGGCCUAUCUCAUGCAAAAUCUAAUGACUAGCCGGUGGAUAGCAGCGCAGCAAUUGGUUUCAAAUGAGAUGCUAAUACAAGAAGGGGACAAUCCUGCUGAUAUUCCUGGUCGGAAAAAGUCUUAUCAGGACGAAGAAAAUGGUGUAUAUGGUUGUGAGCAUUAUAAACGAAACUGUAAACUCCGAGCUGCCUGUUGUGGGAACCUUUUUUCAUGUCGUUUUUGUCAUGACAAAGUCAGCGAUCACUCUAUGGAUAGGCAUGCAACGAAGGAGAUGAUGUGCAUGCAAUGCUUGCAGGUGCAGCCUGUUGCUUCUGUCUGUAACACUCCGUCAUGCAACGGUUUCUCUAUGGGUCGUUAUUUUUGUAACAUCUGCAAGUUCUUCGACAAUGACAACAGGGAUAUAUAUCACUGCCCAUCCUGCAAUCUUUGCCGUGUUGGUAAGGGUUUAGGCAUUGAUUUUUUUCAUUGCAUGACAUGCAACAGUUGCAUGGCUAUGCAGCUUAAAGAGCACAAGUGCAUGGAGAAAGGCCUCGAAUCUAAUUGCCCUAUUUGCAAUGAUUUCUUGUUCACUUCCAACACGCCUGUCAAAGCUCUUCCGUGUGGUCACUUCAUGCACUCCGCCUGCUUUAAGGCCUAUACGUGCAGUCAUUAUACUUGCCCUAUCUGCUGCAAGUCCCUAGGGGAUAUGGUGAUUUAUUUUGGUAUGCUCGAUGCUUUAUUGGCAUCUGAGCAGCUUCCUGAUGAGUAUAGAAGUAGAAAUCAGGAAAUCCUAUGUAACGAUUGUGAGCAAAAAGCAACUGCACCUUUUCACUGGUUAUAUCACAAAUGUGGAGGAUGUGGCUCUUAUAACACCCGUGCUAUAUAAUAGAAUGCGCAGGUUUGAAAGGUAGCACGUUGUAUUCCCCUAAGAAAACACUUUACAAAAUGUUAGUUUCAGUGGGUUUCCGGUUAAAUUGUUGUUGCGCAAUUCCAUUUACGAAGACAUCAGCCACUUUUAACUUCUGUGUGCUCAAAGGUGUUGCGCUUUGCUCAAUAAAUGUAAUAGUAGACCAGGAAUAUGUGGGUUGUGUCUGUCAUCAUAUCGAGGCUUCGGACGUUGUAAAAUGGUGGGGAAACACUGCACCCAGUGUUUUAUUUUCUGCACAAAAUGACUUAUUCUGCAACUUUAUUGGUAUAUCGACGUCUAAACUUUCUCAGUUGAAUUGAUAUCGCUUGUUAUUUGGUUGAAAGUGGUGUUAUUUUCUUGCAUAGUUGUAACAUUGAGCAGUAAAUAUGAGAUCGCUUCUUGCCGAUGUGUUGCUCUUGAA